rnacentral:rRNA from 1 species
CCUACGGGUGGCAGCAGUGGGGAAUAUUGCGCAAUGGGCGAAAGCCUGACGCAGCGACGCCGCGUGAGGGAUGAAGGUCUUCGGAUCGUAAACCUCUGUCAGCAGGGAAGAACGGUCACUGUGCUAAUCAGCAGUGACUUGACGGUACCUGCAAAGGAAGCACCGGCUAACUCCGUGCCAGCAGCCGCGGUAAUACGGAGGGUGCAAGCGUUAAGCGGAAUUACUGGGCGUAAAGCGCUCGUAGGCGGUAUGUCAAGUCAAGGGUGAAAUCCCCGCGCUCAACGUGGGAACUGCAUUUGAAACUGGCAAACUGGAGUGUGUAAGAGGAUAGUGGAAUUCCAGGUGUAGGAGUGAAAUCCGUAGAUAUCUGGAGGAACAUCAGUGGCGAAGGCGACUAUCUGGCACAUAACUGACGCUGAGGAGCGAAAGCGUGGGUAGCAAACAGGAUUAGAUACCCGGGUAGUC